AGAGGUUUUCUGGGUUUCUGUUU
rnacentral:miRNA from 3 species